rnacentral:rRNA from 1 species
UUUGAUCCUGGCUCAGGAUGAACGCUAGCUACAGGCUUAACACAUGCAAGUCGAGGGGCAUCAUGAAGUUUGCUUGCAAACUUUGAUGGCGACCGGCGCACGGGUGAGUAACGCGUAUCCAACUUCCCCUUAGUAGGGCAUAGCCCGGCGAAAGUCGGAUUAAUACCCUAUGUUCUUCGUCGAUGACAUCUGAAGUGAAGGAAAGGUUUACCGCUAAGGGAUGGGGAUGCGUCCGAUUAGCUUGCCGGCGGGUAACGGCCCACCGGGGCCACGAUCGGUAGGGGUUCUGAGAGGAAGGUCCCCACAUUGGAACUGAGACACGGUCCAAACUCCUACGGGAGGCAGCAGUGAGGAAUAUUGGUCAAUGGGCGCGAGCCUGAACCAGCCAAGUAGCGUGAGGGAUGACGGCCCUACGGGUUGUAAACCUCUUUGCCGGGGAAUAAAGUGCGGGACGCGUCCCGUUUGUAUGUACCCGGAGAAUAAGGACCGGCUAAUUCCGUGCC